UUGGAGUUUACGAUUUGUGUUUCUAUAAUCCAAACUAUUUCAAUUAUUACAUUUGUACAUUGAAUUGCAUGGUAAGUUAUAAGGUAAACUACAAAAUUGAUUUGGUGAGAUAUAUUGAAGUGAUUGGAUUGGUUAUUUGUGUUAAGGAUUAAAUUGAUUAAAUGUGGAAAUACUGAAUAGUAUUUGAAAUGUGAAAUUGAUUUUGAUAUGGAAAUGAAUUAUAU
rnacentral:lncRNA from 1 species